GGAUUAGCUCAAUUGGUAGAGCAGCUGAUUUGUAAUCAGCAGGUUGUAGGUUCGAGUCCUAUAUC
rnacentral:tRNA from 1 species